rnacentral:lncRNA from 1 species
GGAGGGGGAGGGAUGUGGGGGGAGUGUACGGUGUUCUGGGCCAGGCUUCCAGAACCUUUAAUUCAGAAUCAGAAUAAAUUUAUAGAAAUCUAAACUACUGCAUCGAUUUUCUUCAAACUUUUUGUGUAAACUUACAGUAAUUUAUCUCAGCGGAUAGGACAACCACAACAUCAAUUCGAUUGUCUGUUUGUUUUGUUUUUGUUGCUGAUUUACCAGUUACCGAACGUCGUCAUCAUGUUGACAUGGCAAAAGACUAUACUAUGGAUUACCUUAUUCAUCAUUGUCAUUGUAAUUGUUUCGCAUAGCUAAAUGCUUCAUGAAGGGAAAAUGACCAUGAUUUUCAUGGUAGUGUAUUAAACCAUUUCUCUGAGUCACUCACUGAUUUUGUUGUGACGCCCAGUAAAAUGACCAUUAAAUGGGUUUGCUUGAUUUUCAUGGUAGUGCACUAAACCAUUUCUGUGAGUCACUCACUGAUAUCAACACCAUAUGAUGAGUAGUCAUCAUGUAUGGCUAAUGAUUAGAAGUUAGACAUGAAUAUGUAUCGUCCUCACCUAAAUUUGGAUGUGCACAUGUCUGUUUCAGAAAGAAAGUUAAGGAUAGGAGAAGAUGAGCACAUUAGCUUAGGCAUACCAGUAAUUUUAAAUCUACGUUGAUUGCAUCUGUUGGAAAAAUGGAAAUUUAUUUAACAUUUGAUUUUAACUGAAUAGUCGUAUGUGUAAUAUUUUCAAAUGCAAUCAUUGAUGUCUUAAAAUCUUCGAGAGCUGUGCCGUAUCACGACAGAAAUGUUUACCUAAAUCACAUUUUGACUUGGCAUUGUUGUAAUCAUUUUAAUUUUUCAUUUUC